AUAAUGAGAAACUAAUGAGUGGAAUAGUUACUGAGGAACGAAUGAGAAACUAAUGAGUAGAGUAGUUACUGAGGAACUAAUGACUAAAGCACAUACAUUUAGUUACUGGUCAACUAAUGAGGAACUAAUGAGUAGAGUAGUUACUGAGGAACUAAUGAGAAACUAAUGACUAAAGCACAUACAUUUAGAGUAGUUACUGGUCAACUAAUGAGGAACUAAUGAGUGGAGUAGUUACGGAGGAACUAAUGAGGAACUAAAGAGUAAGGGUUAUGUAGAUGUGUUCCUCAUGAACUACUGUCAUUUAGUGUACCCUAUAGUAAAGUAUAUGUCCAUCUUGUACUGCAUUAUAACAAGCGUAACUGGUCAGAGUUCACACAUGGUGUACAUGGUAAAACUAUUGUGACAGUCACAAUAUGGUUUUAGUGGUAAAGCAUGGAAAGACUGGGAAUGGUUGGAAUGCCACUUGCAGUGCUGUGGAAUAGACAGCUUUGGCAUUUAUUGACAAGUGUAUUGUACUGCAGUUCAGCCGCCCGGGUGGGGCGUCCGGGGCGUUAUAGGGCGGGGGACCCAGGGGUCCUAGACCCACAACUCAUGCUGUUUUUUUCCAUCAUGAAUCUGAACAAAAACAAGCACAGAUCACGCCUAAGCCUCGGCCCAGGACCCAAAAGCAGACAUUGACACACUGGCAACGGGAAAAGGGUGUCAGACAUCUGGUCAGAAAACACACAGAACAUGAUCAAUCGAUAGUAGAGAGAGAAUCCACUUGGUGUGUUCAAGGACAGGCAGCAUCUGGGAAAAACCUAACCAAUAUAGUUUUACUUGAUUCCAUAUUAUUUAUGUGUAGCGGCCGUUGCAAUGAUUUCAUGUUUGCAGGUCUCAUGUGCAUGCAGACAAAUUGUUGUCAUCAAACCAUCGGUUGGAUGAAAGGCUGAGAGCAGCCUUUUUUGGUCAAAUGCUACAUGUGUCAUACACGUUCUUUGCAGCUUAUUUGUAUGAUGAUUUGGGAUUAUUUAACAUGAAGGAGUAGUUCCAUUUAUUUGACAUUACAUUUGAUUACAUUUUGUUCCAUGUAGAAGUUCCAUCUGGCCCUCUGAGGACAGCCAUUAUGCUGAAAAUGAGUUGGACACCCCUGUUCUGCACAGUGAAGUAGGCUGUUCCUUCCGGGUUGCCCAUUCCUCGUGACCUUGUUGGUAUAAGUCAUCCAGUGCUUUAAGCCCCGCCUCUGGCGGUCAACCGUAGGUGGUCCACCACUGAUGCUUCGAGGACUUCAUGGGGGGCAUCGCCGAGAACUAUGACCUGCGGUGACCCCCCAGUGACCUCUUUGAAAACGUCAACAAAGUGUUGGAGGCGGGAGCGCUGCUGGGAUGCUGGGUUUCAUCGUCACGCAUGACCCUCACAUGUGGCCGUUUCUCCACAGAUCACCAGCGCCGCGGACUCAGAUGCGGUCACAUGCCAGAAGUUGGUCAAAAACCACGCCUACUCGCUGACAGGCGCUGUAAAGGUCAACUACAGAGGUCAUCAGGAGAAGCUGGUGUGCAUGAGGAACCCUCGGGUCAGGUGGAGUGGACCGGCACUUGGAGUGACGGGUAUCAAACAUUAGCGUUAGCCUUUAGCUUGCAGUAAAUGAACGUGGAUGUGCUAACUGCCUGCUAACCUGCUAACAUGGACUGUGAUGACCUUUAUGAUGAUUUGAUUGACAGGAUGUCCCACAAAGACUUCCUGCGUCACUACUCUCACUUUGACUCCUGACACCAUCUUGGAUGACUCGUCAAGCACUGGAGCGUCAACAAGUUUGAUGGCUCGUGGCGUCGCGGCUCCACAGCCGGUGCCUGCAGGAACCACCCCUGUGAGCGGCCCCCGUUGGCUUAGCUCGCUAUGUUGACCCCGUGUGGUCCCCCCCCCCCCCCAGACACCUUCUGGAUGAAGCCGCAGGUCAUCAUCAGGUUGGACGAGGAGGACGAUGACCCUGACGACGGUGGGGUGGGCUGCAGCUUGGUGGUGGGUCUGAUGCAGAGGAACCACAGGAAGCUACAAAAGCAGGGAGGGGGAAUGCACACCAUUGGAUUGGCCAUCUACGAGGUUCCCAAACAGGUGGGGUGGCAGGUCACGCUCCGGGUAAACGGGGGUCCGAGACAUUCAUCAACCUUCCAGAGGUCAGCUUGCACUUCAAGCUGCCACCCGGCGAGUACCUGGUGGGGCCGCCACCUCGGAGCCGAACCUCAACGGUGACUUCUGCAUCCGCGUCAUCCACGAGAAACGCACUGAGGCCAUGAAAUGGAAAUGGUGACAGACGAGGAGGUGGACGCGGGAUUCCGAGACCUCUUCGCCAAGCUAGUGUAGUCGGUGGAAUGCCGCAUCUUUUGUUAUUGUGUUAACAGACACCCCCUCUAUUGUUUAUUUUCUAUUGAACUACUCUAUUUGUAUGUAGAGGGUCAGUUACCAUUGUUCGCCAGUAGGUGGUGAUCUGGUCCCAUUGUGGAUCAAUUGGAGCCCGUACGCUCUGCCCAUGCGCAGGACAAAUAAAGGCGCAAGGCAUGAGGAAGAUGCUAACUGGUCCUCUCUCUGUUAAUCCACAGGUGUUAGAAUGUACUGUCUGCCAGGCGGCUCAGCAUACCAUAAAGCAGAAUGUCCAACAUACUCCCAUAAAGAGGCGGGCAACACGAGGAGCAGUUUUAGUGUCUUUAAUAGCAAGUCCAAAGCAAAAUCCAAAAGAGCAACACAAGGGGGUGGCGAAGGAAAACAACAGAAAAUGUCACCACGAACACCGGAUCAGGUAAACAGCUUGCGUUUGGCAAAAAGCUGGCCGGAUGGGUAGGGAGAGCUGGGCUAACCGAGCAGGAGUCACACACAAGUCACACAGCCAUUUGAACUUGUGGGUAUGGACCUCAUUGGCAAACUGACCACCACAAACAAUGGACACACGUAUGUGUGCGUGAUGGCGGACUAUUUCACCGAGUGGCCACAAGCCUAUCCCCUGAAGACAAAAAGGGCUGAGGAGGUCACAGAUUCAUCAAUUCGUAGCACCGAAACGCAUUCUCACAGACCAAGGGAGUGAGGUUGUAAAUGCGAUCAAUAAGAAUGUCUGCAAAAUAUUGGGUAUCAAAAGAAGUUUGUGUGCCCCCUACGAUCCUCAAACCAAUUAGUCUGGUGGAGCGUAUGAACGCAACCAUCCAGAGGGCUCUUGGUAAACUGAUAGGGUCCAAACCUGAAAUGUGGGCUAAAUAUUUGGAUGCUGUUAUGUUUGGGUUGCGAACCAAAAAGCAACCAAAUUCUCCCUACUUUUUAAUGUUUGGCUGUGAAGCCUGCUACCCAAUAGAAAUUCCAGAGGACUUUCAGAUGGACAGCGGUGUGGAGGAUUAUAUUGGAGCGGAGACAGUUUGCGAGGACAUUAGGCAUCCCUUGAUGAGAUCAGGGACACAGUCCUCAAAAACGCGUCCCGAUCUCAGCAGAGAACCGUGCAAGAGAUUAGUUUGAAACGGAAGCAAGUCAGCUUUGCAGCGGGUGACAGAGUGUGGCGACAGAAUGUGAGGAGCCAACAGUGUAAGGGUGGGAAGCUGGAGUCCAAUUUUCUUGGGCCCUUCACCAUCACAACAAUCCACGGGAAAAGUGCUGAUCUCCUUGGGGACAAUGGAGUGGAUUACGAAAAAAUCAGCAUGACCACCUAAAACAUUUCAGGCAGGAGAAUCUGUGGAUUCCCUCCAAAAUUGGUGAAUACGCUGCCACAGGAACUGCUGUCAAUGUGCCAGGUGUGUCUGUCCCCACUGCCACUGUCCUCACUGCCACAAGACCUGCAGUCAUUGUCCUCCCCGGCAUAAGACCUUUGGUGAUUGUCGCAGUAGCCUCAGCCCUCGCCACCUCAAGACCUGCAGCCACUGUCCAAGCUACGUCUGCCGACUGCUUCUGUCUGUGCCGCCAUUGUCCUCGCCGCCACGCCUACAGCCACUGUCCCAGCUGUCUCUGUCCUCGCUGCCACAGGACCAACUGCCUCUGUCCUCCCAGUCACUGUCCCAGGUGCAGCAAGACCUGAAUGUAAAGACUCUCCAUUAGUGUUUAAAUAUGUUUCUGUGUGGUGUGGAAACAUGAUCUUUUUGUUGUCUUUAAGGUGAUCAAUACAUAUCUAACGUUGCUUGUUCAACGAUACACCAACAAAGUUGAACAAGCUGCUGUCAAUGACAGCUAUGGAAUGACACGCAUUUGGACUCACAAUACCUCCAAGCUCAAAAUGGAUCCUAUGCAUAUCAACAUCAUUGUGGGGAUUUUUAACAAACAUCACUGGAUGUUAACGUGGUAGUUGUAGUGGAAAAGUUGUUACCUUCCGAAAGGUUAUUUAUCCCCAUGAAAAGCGGACCUUGUUUGUGGAUCCAUUUGGGGAAACUGAAGAUAAAAUAAAAAGAUGCCUGGAAACAAGAAGGGCAUUCAUGCAGACGAGGGACUGCAAAGUGUCAAGGUGGUACCCUUCCCCAUGGACUUCAGCGUGAUGGUACAUCACGUGGUGUCUUAGCCUUGAAAAUUGGCUGUGACAACUGCAGCAGGUAGAACCACCACACUUGCUGAGGUCAUCCAUCACUAGAUGCCGACUAUCUCUGUCCUCUCUGCCUGUAAGGCGGGCAGAAGAGCAUUGAGUGUGUGUUUAUGAAUCAUAUAUAUUUACUGUAUAUAGUUGAAAACAUUUAUCAUACAAUUCAAAUAUUUUUAUAUAAAGUUUUC